UCCCUGGUGGCUCAGAGGUUAAAGUGUCUGCCUCCAAUGCGGGAGACCCGGGUUUGAUCCCUGGGUAGGGAA
rnacentral:tRNA from 1 species